GCCGUAAACGAUGUCGACUUGGAGGUUGUGCCCUUGAGGCGUGGCUUCCGGAGCUAACGCGUUAAGUCGACCGCCUGGGGAGUACGGCCGCAAGGUUAAAACUCAAAUGAAUUGACGGGGGCCCGCACAAGCGGUGGAGCAUGUGGUUUAAUUCGAUGCAACGCGAAGAACCUUACCUACUCUUGACAUCCAGAGAACUUAGCAGAGAUGCUUUGGUGCCUUCGGGAACUCUGAGACAGGUGCUGCAUGGCUGUCGUCAGCUCGUGUUGUGAAAUGUUGGGUUAAGUCCCGCAACGAGCGCAACCCUUAUCCUUUGUUGCCAGCGAUUCGGUCGGGAACUCAAAGGAGACUGCCAGUGAUAAACUGGAGGAAGGUGGGGAUGACGUCAAGUCAUCAUGGCCCUUACGAGUAGGGCUACACACGUGCUACAAUGGCAUAUACAAAGAGAAGCGACCUCGCGAGAGCAAGCGGACCUCAUAAAGUAUGUCGUAGUCCGGAUUGGAGUCUGCAACUCGACUCCAUGAAGUCGGAAUCGCUAGUAAUCGUGGAUCAGAAUGCCACGGUGAAUACGUUCCCGGGCCUUGUACACACCGCCCGUCACACCAUGGGAGUGGGUUGCAAAAGAAGUAGGUAGCUUAACCUUCGGGAGGGCGCUUACCACUUUGUGAUUCAUGACUGGGGUGAAGUCGUAACCAAGGUAACCGUAGGGGAACCUGC
rnacentral:rRNA from 1 species